GACGAACGCUGGCGGCGCGCCUAAUACAUGCAAGUCGAGCGUGAACCCGGACUUCGGUCCGGGGGAAAGCGGCGAACGGGUGCGUAACACGUGAGCAACCUGCCCCGAAGACCGGGAUAACACCGGGAAACCGGUGCUAAUACCGGAUGCCCUCUUCCGACCGCAUGAUUGGACGAGGAAAUGGAUUCCGCUUCGGGAUGGGCUCGCGGUCUAUCAGCUUGUUGGUGGGGUAACGGCCUACCAAGGCGACGACGGAUAGCUGGUCUGAGAGGACGAUCAGCCACACUGGGACUGAGACACGGCCCAGACUCCUACGGGAGGCAGCAGUGGGGAAUAUUGCACAAUGGGCGCAAGCCUGAUGCAGCGACGCCGCGUGAGGGAUGACGGCC
rnacentral:rRNA from 1 species